GUGCUCACAUUGGCAGCUCAUAUACUAAAAAACUGGGACAAUACAGAGAAGAUUAACAUGGCCCCUGAGCAAGGGUGACAUGCAAAUUUGUGAAGCGUUCCAUUAAAAA